AUUAUCAGCCCAAAGAUUUAUUUAAAAAGCCCAAAACUUAAUUAUUUCCCUACCUUAUAUCCCCAAUUUAAUUAAGAAGCCCCAACAAAAUAAAAAGAGCCCAAACAAAGCAUUUAAUUAAUAAGGCCCAAUUCUUUUAAAACAAAAGGCCCAAAUUCUUUUUAAAACAAACAAAUGGCCCAAAUUUCUUAAAAAUUAACAAGCCCCAUUUUUAACUCCCUCAUCUCUCUCUCAAUCACUAUUCAUCUCUCUCUCAAUCACUAUUCAUCUUCUUCCCCCAAAUUGCACAAAAUAGAAAAAAUCUCCCUCUUCUCUUCGUCGACCAGCCACCCCACCGGCGUCGCCUCCGCUUCCGUUUUCGUCUCCGGCGGUGUUCUCUUCCUCCUCCUCAUCUCUCCCUUUCUCUUCUCUCCCUCUUCACCGUACGCCGCUGCCUUCUCUCCCUCUCUCCCCCGAUCUGCCGGCGCCGCCUCGCGGAUCUGCCGGAGCCACGGAUCCGCCUCCGCCGCCUCCUUCUUCUCCCUCUCCUUUCUCUCCCUCGGCUCCCUCUUCAUUCCCCGGAUCUGUCGCCGUCGCCGCCGCCGCUGCGGGUCCGCCACCGCCGAGGAUCUGCCUCCGCCGCCAUCGCCGAGGGCCUUCCCCAGCCUCCGACAAUACCACAACCGCCGUCCACUUCCUCCAGUUGGAGUAUGGAACUGUUUUUAUCGGCGACGGAGUGCCGAAGCUUGCUGCCGGAGAUCCGGCAGAUUCAUCUUCUAAGAUAAGUAUCACUAACUGCCUAUGUUAGUUCUACCAUUUCAAUAGCUUGGGGAAAAAUCGGUUUUAGCAUGUUACUUGUAAGUUUUGGUGCAACUCGGAGCAUAUCGGAGCAUUUGUCGUGUUAUGGUGAGUUCUUGAUGUAAUACGCAUACAGAAAAUAAAAAGGUUUGGAGAUUACCUUACUAGGUAGAGAGUAGAAUGUGUCGGUAUGGCUGAUUUGGAACACACACUGUUAUUCAUGAAAGUUGCUACUCUGUGGAAGAAGUUUGGGAUUUGAUGGUAACGUGGGUGUUUGAAAAAAAAAAUGGUUAUAUAUCUAUAUACAAUGAACAAAAGAGGGAGUGAAGUGACGCUGUAACAAGUUGCCUCACAUUUUAUCUCAAAUUAUUCUCCUUAGUCAGGAAGGGAUAUGAUUUGCCUGCUGUAAUUAAAUGCAACAUUUAAUGAUGUGUCUGAAAAAAUUCGAUCCUUUGAAUCUGCCCUCUCUCUUUAUUUUUAUAUUUUAUUUGUUUUAUUAAAUUUUAUUAUUUGUAUAUUUAUUUACUUAUUUAUUUAAUUUGGUAUAGGAAAAACUCAGUUUAAGCUCGUGGCUUUGGUGUAGAAAAACAAAUAAUAUCCAUAGUCUUCUUUGAUGAUGUACCGGACUUUCUUGGAGUGCGAGCACGACCGUUGAACGGGAUGCGUAAACUUUUCUCUAAUUGUAAUAGAUAAGGAUUUGAUAAAUUUGUAUAAUAGUAAUUUAGCGGACUUCGAAGAUAUGCCGGAAAUUAUAAAUUUUUAUUUGGUGUUCC